AGAGUUUGAUCCUGGCUCAGAUUGAACGCUGGCGGCAUGCUUUACACAUGCAAGUCGAACGGCAGCACGGGGGCAACCCUGGUGGCGAGUGGCGAACGGGUGAGUAAUACAUCGGAACGUAUCCUUGAGUGGGGGAUAACGCAGCAAAAGUUGUGCUAAUACCGCAUGAGCUCUGAGGAGGAAAGUGGGGGACCGUAAGGCCUCACGCUGAAGGGGCGGCCGAUGUCCGAUUAGCUAGUUGGUGAGGUAAAGGCUCACCAAGGCUUCGAUCGGUAGCUGGUCUGAGAGGAUGAUCACCCACACUGGGACUGAGACACGGCCCAGACUCCUACGGGAGGCAGCAGUGGGGAAUUUUGGACAAUGGGGGCAACCCUGAUCCAUCCAUGCCGCGUGAGUGAAGAAGGCCUUCGGGUUGUAAAGCUCUUUCGUGAGGGAAGAAACGGCCAUACUGAAUAGCUGUGGUUACUGACGGUACCUCAAGAAGAAGCACCGGCUAACUACGUGCCAGCCGCCGCGGU
rnacentral:rRNA from 1 species